rnacentral:rRNA from 1 species
AACGAACGCUGGCGGCAUGCCUAACACAUGCAAGUCGAACGAAGGCUUCGGCCUUAGUGGCGCACGGGUGCGUAACGCGUGGGAAUCUGCCCUUAGGUUCGGAAUAACAGCUGGAAACGGCUGCUAAUACCGGAUGAUAUCGCGAGAUCAAAGAUUUAUCGCCUGAGGAUGAGCCCGCGUUGGAUUAGGUAGUUGGUGGGGUAAAGGCCUACCAAGCCGACGACCCAUAGCUGGUCUGAGAGGAUGAUCAGCCACACUGGGACUGAGACACGGCCCAGACUCCUACGGGAGGCAGCAGUGGGGAAUAUUGGACAAUGGGCGCAAGCCUGAUCCAGCAAUGCCGCGUGAGUGAUGAGGGCCCUAGGGUUGUAAAGCUCUUUUACCCGGGAAGAUAAUGACUGUACCGGGAGAAUAAGCCCCGGCUAACUCCGUGCCAGCCGCCGCCGUAA